rnacentral:rRNA from 1 species
GACGAACGCUGGCGGCGUGCUUAACACAUGCAAGUCGAACGGUGAAGCGCCUUCCUUUUUGGUGGGUGUGGAUGAGUGGCGAACGGGUGAGUAACACGUGAGUAACCUGCCCCCUUCUUCUGGAUAACCGCAUGAAAGUGUGGCUAAUACGGGAUAUUCUGGGUCUGUCGCAUGAUGGGUCUGGGAAAGAUCUUGUUUCGGUGGGGGAUGGGCUCGCGGCCUAUCAGCUUGUUGGUGGGGUGAUGGCCUACCAAGGCGGUGACGGGUAGCCGGCCUGAGAGGGUGGACGGUCACACUGGGACGGAGACACGGCCAAGACUCCUACGGGAGGCAGCAGUGGGGAAUAUUGCACAAUGGGCGGAAGGCUGAUGCAGCGACGCCGCGGGAGGGAUGGAGGCCUUCGGGUUGUGAACCUCUUUCGCCAGUGAAGCAGGCCUGCCUAGUUUGUGGGUGGGUUGACGGUAGCUGGAUAAGAAGCGCCGGCUAACUACGUG